rnacentral:tRNA from 1 species
UGCUGGGUAACUCAACGGUUAGAGUAGCGGACUUUUCACCCGCAAAGUACAGGUUCGAUUCCUGUCCCGGCUAUA